CCUACGGGUGGCUGCAGUGAGGAAUAUUGGUCAAUGGUCGGGAGACUGAACCAGCCAAGCCGCGUGAAGGAUGAAUGUCCAGAGGAUCGUAAACCUCUUUUAUCAGGGAACAAAAGCAGGGACGUGUCCCCGGAUGAGUGUACCUGAUGAAAAAGCAUCGGCUAACUCCGUGCCAGCAGCCGCGGUAAUACGGAGGAUGCGAGCGUUAUCCGGAUUUAUUGGGUUUAAAGGGUGCGGAGGUGGUCUGUUAAGUCAGGUGUCAAAGCCCGGGGCUCAACCCUAGCACCGCCGUUGAGACUGGCAGUCUCGAGUUGGAGAGAAGUAGGCGGAAUGCGCGGUGUAGCGGUGAAAUGCAUAGAUAUCGCGAAGAACUCCGAUUGCGAAGGCAGCAUGCCG
rnacentral:rRNA from 1 species